ensembl:lncRNA
UGAAUGAGUAGAUAGGACACGCCCCUUUGAGCUGCGUGCUACAGCGAGGCUAAGCUAGUGGGGGCAAAGUUUCAGUGCAUUCCGUUGAUGUAGACAGCGUGAAAACGGAAACAACAAGUAUGCCGGCUCACUGUGCUGCAUACAAUUACACACUACGUCAUACGAUUGAGACAAGGAAACUUGGAAUGACUUUUCAUAGGUUUCCCAGAGACUAUGGGUUGAGGAGGAAUUGGAAGUUUGUCGGCUUAGACCUGGUGUCAUUCCAUCAGUGUUAAACUUCCCGGCUCAUCUUGGAAGAGUACGUGCCAGAAAGACCAUGACCAAGCAGCCUUGAGAUCUUAGGCAGCGUCUCCCUGAGGUCCCUCUCUAUCUCCCCACACAUCCACCAACCACUGGAACACAUCUCCAAAGUUCUGCUGGGCCAGCUCAGCUUCCCCUCAGAAGAAGUGGCGCCACCUGCCAGAUGAAGGAGCCUUUCGAGAGGCAGCUGGCAUCGUGAUUGGACUGUACUUUGGUCUGUUGCAAUCCAGCUUCAGCUCCAGAGACGGCAGGCGGGACGAGUCAACGGAGGCCGGAUGGACGAAGGCAUGCAGCUGAGUACAAUCCAGAAAACAACAGAGGAGGAGUGCAGGGCCAGAACAACCAGAGUAGCAUCGUAUGUCUCUUAAAAAACAUCAUAGUAUAGCUUUUGGUAUGAAAAAACGGCAUAAUAUACAUCAUAUAUUGUACAAAUAACAAGUCAAAGCAAAGAGACAUACAUUGUAGAAUUGCAGUAAUUGUGGGCUGACUGGCCUUGGCAAUGGUCGUCGGAAUGUGAAUAACACUGACCACACCUCACAGAGGUUAUAAGCUGAGGCAACAUCAACCACCACCAGAACUGAAGAAGCAUCUUGGAUGAGAGGUGAAACGUCUUCAAGGAACCUUCUUAAAGUCCAGUUGGAUUGAUUUAAACAACUUUGGAUGACUGAUGUACUGAUUAUCAGUAUUUUAUUUUUUACUGAUUUACAGUAAUAAAUACAUUUAAAAAUGGUUCUUCUUUGGCUCUGAACCUUUAUCUACCUGUGGUCGCUCUGUCUUCUGGAGUGAUUUGAUUGGUUAUACGUCACGAAUAAAACUCCUUUAACUUAACAUCUGUAAACAAAACAAAAACGUAUCAACAAAGUUUUCUGUUAGAGUUUGUGUUCUUCUAAGUUUAACUCCAAGAUUUUAAAUACUUUCAUUUACUGCAAAUGAAUAUCUACUCCAAAUGUCUCACUAAUAAUCAUUAUCAGCCUUAAAAACCCACAAAACACCCCUCUAUACUCGACCACACUUAGUACAGUCCUGUUCCCCCCUUCUAUAAAUCUGCUUGGAAUCUUCCACUUCCUGUUUGUCAAAGUGUCCUUCUACCUGGACAGGUUUUGUUGGAGCUCAUGCAGCAAACAUUUUGGGUAACUGCACUUUAAUAUGGAUGGAUGACACUGAAUUAGAGUCUGUUUUAAUGAGACUGAGUUAAGAUAUGUAGUUCUGUCAUUAAAUAGUAAAUUAUUUCUCUGAAUUCACAGAGAAAAGUCUGAAAUGUUUGCUAGGUUAGCGUCCCACAUGUUCUUUGGCUCAGCUAAAGCUAACUCUCUCCAACUUCUGGAUCUCUUGAGUUGCUUGUUGUUAAAAUAUCUUGCUAGAGGUGCUGAAGCUCAGAAAGUCUGAGAUGUUUGUUCAAAAUAAGCUCAUUCUCGAGUCUUAUCUGAACUGUUUGAAUUUUCCCUAAACUUAGGAGUUAAUGACAGAGCAGCACAUCCAGACUCAGUCUCAUUUAUGUAGUGAUUAAACUUCAGUGUCAUUCAUUGAUGUUAAAGUGCAGUUUUUCAAAUGUUUGUUGCACAUGCUCCCGACCAAACCAGUCCAGGUGGAAGAUGAUGUGAAGAGAAAGCUCCAGAGGAUGAAUAUCACACAUUUCCGUUGGAAAUAAAUGUCCUUUAAUUAGACAUUGUCAUGCAAAAGUUGGAUUUGCCUUUAAUGAUGUUCAAAUCUUUGUUGAGUGUUUUGUUGAUGUUGGUUUCUAAAUGUUUUCUGACACUCGGCCCCAAAGAUUAAAACCUUCUACGGCUCACAAGCUGCAACAAUUCACACAUUAUCAACUAUCUUUCUGACUAAACUAAGAUAAAAAGUGAAAAACUGCCUGAUUCCUGCAUCAUGAAUGUAAAUCUUUUUGGUUUUUAUGACAGUAAACUGAAUAUAUUUGGGUUUGACAUUUUGUAAACCAAAACAAGAAAUGAAUUACUGGAGAAAAUCAACAGACUAAUGGAAAAAGAAAAUGUGUUUUCCAACAUAUAUGGCUGAAUUACUCCAACAUUACAAGAUACAUACAAUUUAAAUUCAGUUUUAUUUAUAUAACGCCAAAUACAGGUCAAAUUGUCUCAAGAGACUUUAUUUUUAUAUUUUUU